rnacentral:rRNA from 1 species
GACGAACGCUGGCGGCGUGCUUAACACAUGCAAGUCGAACGGGAUCCAAAGGCUUUUUGUUUUUGGUGAGAGUGGCGAACGGGUGAGUAACACGUGAGUAACCUGCCCCCUUCUUUUGGAUAACCGCAUGAAAGUGUGGCUAAUACAGGAUAUUCCAGGCUGGUCGCAUGAUUGGUUUGGGAAAUGGUUUGGUCUGGUGGGGGAUGGGCUCGCGGCCUAUCAGCUUGUUGGUGGGGUGAUGGCCUACCAAGGCGGUGACGGGUAGCCGGCCUGGGAGGGUGGGCGGUCACACUGGGACUGAGAUACGGCCCAGACUCCUACGGGAGGCAGCAGUGGGGGAUUUUGCACGAUGGGCGCAAGCCUGAUGCAGCGACGCCGCGUGAGGGAUGAAGGCCUUCGGGUUGUAAACCUCUUUCGCUGGGUUGAAAGGCCAUGCUUUGGGUGUGGUUGAUUUGAACUGGUAAAGAAGUACCGGCUAACUACGUG